UUUUUUGCUAUUUGGUACUCAUUGAUUUUAACCUGUCGCAGGUUUGAGUUGUGCGCAGCGAAACAACGGAGCCGCUCGCGGCGACGGCCCGAAGGGCGAGCGAAGCGAGUCAUCCUGCACGACCCACCA
rnacentral:sRNA from 1 species